rnacentral:rRNA from 1 species
CCUACGGGUGGCAGCAGUGGGGAAUAUUGGACAAUGGGCGAAAGCCUGAUCCAGCCAUGCCGCGUGUGUGAAGAAGGCCUUCGGGUUGUAAAGCACUUUCAGUGGGGAAGAAAGCCUUGGGGCUAAUACCCUCGAGGAAGGACAUCACCCACAGAAGAAGCACCGGCUAACUCCGUGCCAGCAGCCGCGGUAAUACGGAGGGUGCGAGCGUUAAUCGGAAUUACUGGGCGUAAAGCGCGCGUAGGCGGUCUGAUAAGCCGGUUGUGAAAGCCCCGGGCUCAACCUGGGAACGGCAUCCGGAACUGUCAGGCUAGGGUGCAGGAGAGGAAGGUAGAAUUCCCGGGGUAGCGGUGAAAUGCGUAGAGAUCGGGAGGAAUACCAGGGGCGAAGGCGGCCUUCUGGACUGACACUGACGCUGAGGUGCGAAAGCGUGGGUAGCAAACAGGAUUAGAUACCCGAGUAGUC